GAUGAACGCUGGCGGCGUGCCUAACACAUGCAAGUCGAACGAAGACCCCGAGGCAGAGAUUUCGGUCGAAGCCAAGGGAGGACUGAGUGGCGGACGGGUGAGUAACGCGUGGAUAACCUGCCCCAUACAGGGGGAUAGCAGUUGGAAACGACUGAUAAUACCGCAUAAGCGCACGGGGAGACAUCUCCUAGUGUGAAAAGAGAUAUCGGUAUGGGAUGGGUCCGCGUCCGAUUAGCCAGUUGGCGGGGUAAAAGCCCACCAAAGCGACGAUCGGUAGCCGGCCUGAGAGGGCGGACGGCCACAUUGGGACUGAGACACGGCCCAGACUCC
rnacentral:rRNA from 1 species